rfam:Desulfuromonadales bacterium C00003107 5579_contig_52810.2, whole genome shotgun sequence.
GCCGCCCUAGCUCAGUUGGUAGAGCAACGCACUCGUAAUGCGUAGGUCGUCGGUUCAACUCCGAUGGGCGGCU